GACGAACGCUGGCGGCGUGCCUAAUACAUGCAAGUAGAACGCUGAAGGAGGAGCUUGCUUCUCUGGAUGAGUUGCGAACGGGUGAGUAACGCGUAGGUAACCUGCCUGGUAGCGGGGGAUAACUAUUGGAAACGAUAGCUAAUACCGCAUAAGAGUAGAUGUUGCAUGACAUUUGCUUAAAAGGUGCAAUUGCAUCACUACCAGAUGGACCUGCGUUGUAUUAGCUAGUUGGUGGGGUAACGGCUCACCAAGGCGACGAUACAUAGCCGACCUGAGAGGGUGAUCGGCCACACUGGGACUGAGACACGGCCCAGACUCCUACGGGAGGCAGCAGUAGGGAAUCUUCGGCAAUGGACGGAAGUCUGACCGAGCAACGCCGCGUGAGUGAAGAAGGUUUUCGGAUCGUAAAGCUCUGUUGUAAGAGAAGAACGAGUGUGAGAGUGAAAAGUUCACACUGUGACGGUAUCUUACCAGAAAGGGACGGCUAACUACGUG
rnacentral:rRNA from 1 species